rnacentral:rRNA from 1 species
UUGGAGGGCAAGUCUGGUGCCAGCAGCCGCGGUAAUUCCAGCUCCAAUAGCGUAUAUUAAAGUUGUUGCAGUUAAAGAGCUCGUAGUUGAAUUUCGGGAUCAGUAUGUUGGUCGUGCUUCGGUACGUACUGUCAUUACUGGUUUCUACCUUCUGAAGAACCUUGAUGUCAUUAAUUUGGUGUCUUGGGGAAUCAGGACUGUUACUUUGAAAAAAUUAGAGUGUUUAAAGCAGGC